rnacentral:lncRNA from 1 species
UUUCUUUUUGGGCAGAGUACCCCGUAGAGCUAAGGGAGGUUUCGCUUUCCGUCGCCAUGUUAAGUUCAGGCAACGGCUUCAGAGAUAUCCUAUUGGAAUCAAUAUUGAUGGGAUCUAACAAGCUUAUUGUUAAGGUUUUGUUUUCCUUUCAAUUUUGUUGGGGAGUUUUGAAGAAGAAAAGGAGUUGCUGGAGAAAGGGAUGCUAACAAUAGAGUUCCCAACAUGAACAUAAAAGAAGAAAAGCAAGAAAAAAGUGUAGGAACUUUGCUGUGUUAGUAGAUCUUCAUAUUUUGCCUCAAGGCUCAAGAAAAGAAACCAGCUGGUUUUCAGAACAGAUGAAAAAGGUACAACAAAAAUUCCAAUUUUAAGGACAAAAUGACUAUGGGAGAAAACAUUGCCUAGCACUAAUCUGCUUAGAUUCUACUUUACUAAUUAGGUAAAAAUGAUAAAGAUAAUGCCUAAGCUUGAAAAAUCCUACUGUAGCACUCUUAUUUCCCCCAAGAAAUAUUUUGUUGUUUCUCA